UACGGAGGGAGCUAGCGUUGUUCGGAAUUACUGGGCGUAAAGCGCACGUAGGCGGCUUUCUAAGUCAGGGGUGAAAGCCUGGAGCUCAACUUCAGAAUUGCCUUUAAGACUGCAUCGCUUGAAUCCGGGAGAGGUGAGUGGAAUUCCGAGUGUAGAGGUGAAAUUCGUAGAUAUUCGGAAGAACACCGGUGGCGAAAGCGGCUCACUGGAUCUCUUCUGACGCUGAGGCACGAAAGCUAGGGUAGCGAACGGG
rnacentral:rRNA from 1 species